GGGCCGGUAGUCUAGCUUGGUGGAACGCCGCGUUCACACCGCGGAGGUCGCCGGUUCAAGUCCGGCCCGGCCCACCA
rnacentral:tRNA from 1 species